rnacentral:rRNA from 1 species
GUGGAACGAGCGGCGGACGGGUGAGUAACACGUAGGCAACCUGCCUGUAAGACUGGGAUAACUCGCGGAAACGCGAGCUAAUACCGGAUAAUACUUAUUAUCUCCUGAUGGUAAGUUGAAAGGCGGCUUUUGCUGUCACUUACAGAUGGGCCUGCGGCGCAUUAGCUAGUUGGUGGGGUAACGGCUCACCAAGGCGACGAUGCGUAGCCGACCUGAGAGGGUGAUCGGCCACACUGGGACUGAGACACGGCCCAGACUCCUACGGGAGGCAGCAGUAGGGAAUCUUCCGCAAUGGACGAAAGUCUGACGGAGCAACGCCGCGUGAGUGAUGAAGGUUUUCGGAUCGUAAAACUCUGUUGUCGGGGAAGAACAAGUAUGAUAGUAACUGAUCGUACCUUGACGGGUACCCGACCAGAAAGCCACGGCUAACUACGUGCCAGCAGCCGCGGUAAUACGUAGGUGGCAAGCGUUGUCCGGAAUUAUUGGGCGU